AUCAAACACUUUCCAUUGUAGAAUGCACCUCAUCCUCAAGAUGUCGUGAUGUCAACCAGAUGGGAAUACCCUUAUAGUAGAGAGGUGGCUGCAUAUCCAGCUCCAUGGCUUAAAGGACACACUAAGUUUUGGCCAGGGUGCUCAAGGGUAGACGAUAAACAUGGUGAUCAACAUCUUGUUUGUACAUGUCCACCGAUGGAGAGUUAUGACUAUGAGAAAACUAAGGCAUUCACAUAGAUAUUUAGUUUAAUAAAAGCUUGGCUGAAGUAUUCAUCAUCACCAUCAUCCAUCACCAUCAUAAUUCACAGCAAGUUAUGAAAUAACUAUAUCAAGAUUAACAACUUUCGUUUUAGCGGACAAAUUUGGGGUCUAUAAAUGGGGUCAUUUUCUGUAAUUUCUUGUUUGUGUGGAUAUAUUUAAGUCUUGCUAAAGUGAUGGUUAAGUUUUCGUAAUAUCGGCCCUGCCAGAGUUGGCUGUAUUAAAAAAAAACAUAAAGGUCCGCUUAAGCUGGUGAUUUUUGCGGUCAUUUUAAUCCAAAACAAUAUUGUUAUAGAAUCAACUCGUAAGGUUUAUUCACUUGACACUAAGAUGAGCUGACUUAAAGUCUCUUCACAUGGAUAAGAAAAAAAUCUAGUAUGCUAAUGGUUUUUAAAAUCGCCCGAAAAAUCUCAUCAGCGAAAGUUGCUUAAAAAAUCGUCAUUAUGAACAGGCCUUAAUUAGUUAAAUGUAUUGUACAGCGGUAAUUAUAUUUUUUUCAGAGCCGGGGUGGGACUUUCUCUUUAAAGCAGCUCUUUUUUCAUCAACAUCAACAAAGUGACCAAAACUAUUACAAGGACGUUAAGUUUCUUUUUCAUCUUGUGUUAUUUCAUGAAAGCUCUCUACACUGAAUUUAUAAUUGCAUAAAUGGAUCCUAUAUACAAACAUUGAUGUUUUUACUUUGCACGGAUCUCCAACAAAAGCACUCCACCAAUACUAUUGUUUUAUUUGUCAAAUCAUGAUAAUGCAGAUUUUGCAAAAUAAAUUUACUGAAUAAAUUGAAUGUAAUGAA